rnacentral:tmRNA from 7 species
GGGGGUGAAAGGUUUCGACUCUUGCUAGCCGGGAGUAAGGUGGCAUACCGAGGUUGGUCGGUUGGCCUCGAUAAAAACCGACUACUAUUAAAUGCUAACGACUACAAUCCAGUAGCCGAGGCCGAAGCUAUUUUAGCUGAGGCUCAAUUGGCACAUGUUGCUGCACCUAUGGGUGCAGCCCUUCCUGUAUUCCAACCUGUGGGAAUAUAAUAGGAAGUCAUUAACAGGUAACCUCGCAUAGUUCUUAGCCUUUAGGGCGUGCGAGUAUUAAAAAGGCUGGCCUUGAAAAAUCCUGUUUAUCGGAGCGUUCUUGGCGAGAUUAAAAGAUGAACUAAGUAUGUAGAUGCCUUAUUUUAGGGGCAAAAGGACGCGGUUUCAAUACCGCCACCUCCACCA